rnacentral:lncRNA from 10 species
CAAAAUGUACACUUGUUGUGUCAACCCUAAGGGUCUAAAUUUGAACACAAACGGCUUUAGGUAUUGAAGGGAAAACUGUUGCCCAAAGUAUGAAUUCUAUCUAAUAACUCAAUCCUCUAUUGUUUCCCUCUUGGGGUUUAGUAUGCCCACACUGAGAUUUGAAUGCUAAAUCUAGGUCAAACAGAAAUUUGCUCAAGUAUUCCCAGUUCUGAGGACUCGGAAGCUGCUCUGAAAACACUUGUGCUGAAUGACGGCAUUUUACAGAGGCAAUAUGCACUGCAUCUAUUCUUUGAAAAAAUUUUUUUGAGUUCUUUCUCUAUGUCAAGUAUUCUGCUGGGCCUAGGAAUGGGGAGGAUGAGGUAUGGGCCCUUCCUUCAACUAGCUCAUAAUGGUG